UCCAUCGUGUUGUAGACAGUUUUUGUGAUCAUUUCUCGAAAUGCACUGAAUCCAUUGUCAGGGAAAACUAUGUCUUGGUGUAUGAAGUAGUUCCACCAUUUUUUUCGUUAAAUCUCUCCAUUGUGUUGUAGACAGUUUUUGUGAUUAUUUCUCUAAAUGCACUGAAUCCAUUGUCAGAGAAAAUUAUGUUCUGGUGUAUGAAGUAGUUCCACAAUUUUUGUCAAUGAAUUUUAAUUUCUCCACCGUGUUGUAGACAGUUUUUGUGAUCAUUUCUCGAAAUGCACUGAAUCCAUUG